GGUUCAGAAAACAAGAGUGUCUCGAAUCAACUGACCAUACAACAAUACACUUCAAACCGUUCCAUCACAACACCCAUUAUUUUGAACCAAUUCAAAAGGCUUUGGUGGCGCGGAACGAUCGUCAGUUUGCCGUUAGAUAUCUU